ACUAAGCGUACACGGUGGAUGCCCUGGCAGUCAGAGGCGAUGAAGGGCGUGCUAAUCUGCGAUAAGCGCCGGUAAGGUGAUAUGAACCGUUAUAACCGGCGAUACCCGAAUGGGGAAACCCAGUGUGACUCGUCACACUAUCAUUAACUGAAUCCAUAGGUUAAUGAGGCGAACCGGGGGAACUGAAACAUCUAAGUACCCCGAGGAAAAGAAAUCAACCGAGAUUCCCCCAGUAGCGGCGAGCGAACGGGGAGGAGCCCAGAGCCUGAAUCAGCAUGUGUGUUAGUGGAAGCGUCUGGAAAGGCGCGCGAUACAGGGUGACAGCCCCGUACACAAAAGCGCAUGUGCUGUGAGCUCGAUGAGUAGGGCGGGACACGUGGUAUCCUGUCUGAAUAUGGGGGGACCAUCCUCCAAGGCUAAAUACUCCUGACUGACCGAUAGUGAACCAGUACCGUGAGGGAAAGGCGAAAAGAACCCCGGCGAGGGGAGUGAAAAAGAACCUGAAACCGUGUACGUACAAGCAGUGGGAGCACAGGUUUACCUGUGUGACUGCGUACCUUUUGUAUAAUGGGUCAGCGACUUAUAUUCUGUAGCAAGGUUAACCGAAUAGGGGAGCCGGAGGGAAACCGAGUCUUAAUUGGGCGUUAAGUUGCAGGGUAUAGACCCGAAACCCGGUGAUCUAGCCAUGGGCAGGUUGAAGGUUGGGUAACACUAACUGGAGGACCGAACCGACUAAUGUUGAAAAAUUAGCGGAUGACCUGUGGCUGGGGGUGAAAGGCCAAUCAAACCGGGAGAUAGCUGGUUCUCCCCGAAAGCUAUUUAGGUAGCGCCUCGUGAAUUCAUCUCCGGGGGUAGAGCACUGUUUCGGCUAGGGGGCCAUCCCGGCUUACCAACCCGAUGCAAACUGCGAAUACCGGAGAAUGUUAUCACGGGAGACACACGGCGGGUGCUAACGUCCGUCGUGAAGAGGGAAACAACCCAGACCGCCAGCUAAGGUCCCAAAGUCAUGGUUAAGUGGGAAACGAUGUGGGAAGGCCCAGACAGCCAGGAUGUUGGCUUAGAAGCAGCCAUCAUUUAAAGAAAGCGUAAUAGCUCACUGGUCGAGUCGGCCUGCGCGGAAGAUGUAACGGGGCUAAACCAUGCACCGAAGCUGCGGCAGCGACACUGUGUGUUGUUGGGUAGGGGAGCGUUCUGUAAGCCUGUGAAGGUGUGUCGUGAGGCAUGCUGGAGGUAUCAGAAGUGCGAAUGCUGACAUAAGUAACGAUAAAGCGGGUGAAAAGCCCGCUCGCCGGAAGACCAAGGGUUCCUGUCCAACGUUAAUCGGGGCAGGGUGAGUCGACCCCUAAGGCGAGGCCGAAAGGCGUAGUCGAUGGGAAACGGGUUAAUAUUCCCGUACUUGGUGUUACUGCGAAGGGGGGACGGAGAAGGCUAUGUUGGCCGGGCGACGGUUGUCCCGGUUUAAGCGUGUAGGUGUGUGUUCCAGGUAAAUCCGGUUCACUUUAACACUGAGGCGUGACGACGAGGCACUACGGUGCUGAAGCAACAAAUGCCCUGCUUCCAGGAAAAGCCUCUAAGCAUCAGGUAACAUCAAAUCGUACCCCAAACCGACACAGGUGGUCAGGUAGAGAAUACCAAGGCGCUUGAGAGAACUCGGGUGAAGGAACUAGGCAAAAUGGUGCCGUAACUUCGGGAGAAGGCACGCUGACACGUAGGUGAAGUGAUUUACUCAUGGAGCUGAAGUCAGUCGAAGAUACCAGCUGGCUGCAACUGUUUAUUAAAAACACAGCACUGUGCAAACACGAAAGUGGACGUAUACGGUGUGACGCCUGCCCGGUGCCGGAAGGUUAAUUGAUGGGGUCAGCGCAAGCGAAGCUCCUGAUCGAAGCCCCGGUAAACGGCGGCCGUAACUAUAACGGUCCUAAGGUAGCGAAAUUCCUUGUCGGGUAAGUUCCGACCUGCACGAAUGGCGUAAUGAUGGCCAGGCUGUCUCCACCCGAGACUCAGUGAAAUUGAACUCGCUGUGAAGAUGCAGUGUACCCGCGGCAAGACGGAAAGACCCCGUGAACCUUUACUAUAGCUUGACACUGAACAUUGAGCCUUGAUGUGUAGGAUAGGUGGGAGGCUUUGAAGUGUGGACGCCAGUCUGCAUGGAGCCGACCUUGAAAUACCACCCUUUAAUGUUUGAUGUUCUAACGUGGACCCGUUACCCGGGUUGCGGACAGUGUCUGGUGGGUAGUUUGACUGGGGCGGUCUCCUCCUAAAGAGUAACGGAGGAGCACGAAGGUUGGCUAAUCCUGGUCGGACAUCAGGAGGUUAGUGCAAUGGCAUAAGCCAGCUUGACUGCGAGCGUGACGGCGCGAGCAGGUGCGAAAGCAGGUCAUAGUGAUCCGGUGGUUCUGAAUGGAAGGGCCAUCGCUCAACGGAUAAAAGGUACUCCGGGGAUAACAGGCUGAUACCGCCCAAGAGUUCAUAUCGACGGCGGUGUUUGGCACCUCGAUGUCGGCUCAUCACAUCCUGGGGCUGAAGUAGGUCCCAAGGGUAUGGCUGUUCGCCAUUUAAAGUGGUACGCGAGCUGGGUUUAGAACGUCGUGAGACAGUUCGGUCCCUAUCUGCCGUGGGCGCUGGAGAACUGAGGGGGGCUGCUCCUAGUACGAGAGGACCGGAGUGGACGCAUCACUGGUGUUCGGGUUGUCAUGCCAAUGGCACUGCCCGGUAGCUAAAUGCGGAAGAGAUAAGUGCUGAAAGCAUCUAAGCACGAAACUUGCCCCGAG
rnacentral:rRNA from 1 species